GAUGAACGCUAGCGGCAGGCUUAACACAUGCAAGUCGAGCGGAUGAGAGAAGCUUGCUUCUCGAUUCAGCGGCGGACGGGUGAGUAAUGCCUAGGAAUCUGCCUGGUAGUGGGGGACAACGUUUCGAAAGGAACGCUAAUACCGCAUACGUCCUACGGGAGAAAGCAGGGGACCUUCGGGCCUUGCGCUAUCAGAUGAGCCUAGGUCGGAUUAGCUAGUUGGUGAGGUAAUGGCUCACCAAGGCGACGAUCCGUAACUGGUCUGAGAGGAUGAUCAGUCACACUGGAACUGAGACACGGUCCAGACUCCUACGGGAGGCAGCAGUGGGGAAUAUUGGACAAUGGGCGAAAGCCUGAUCCAGCCAUGCCGCGUGUGUGAAGAAGGUCUUCGGAUUGUAAAGCACUUUAAGUUGGGAGGAAGGGUUGUAGAUUAAUGCUCUGCAAUUUUGACGUUACCGACAGAAUAAGCACCGGCUAACUCUGUGCCAGCCGCCGCAGUAACAC
rnacentral:rRNA from 1 species